rnacentral:rRNA from 1 species
CAGAUUGAACGCUGGCGGCAGGCCUAACACAUGCAAGUCGAGCGGUAGCACAGAGAGCUUGCUCUCGGGUGACGAGCGGCGGACGGGUGAGUAAUGUCUGGGAAACUGCCUGAUGGAGGGGGAUAACUACUGGAAACGGUAGCUAAUACCGCAUAACGUCGCAAGACCAAAGUGGGGGACCUUCGGGCCUCAUGCCAUCAGAUGUGCCCAGAUGGGAUUAGCUAGUAGGUGGGGUAAUGGCUCACCUAGGCGACGAUCCCUAGCUGGUCUGAGAGGAUGACCAGCCACACUGGAACUGAGACACGGUCCAGACUCCUACGGGAGGCAGCAGUGGGGAAUAUUGCACAAUGGGCGCAAGCCUGAUGCAGCCAUGCCGCGUGUAUGAAGAAGGCCUUCGGGGUUGUAAAGUACUUUCAGCGAGGAGGAAGGCAUUAAGGUUAAUAACCUUGGUGAUUGACGUUACUCGCAGAAGAAGCACCGGCUAACUCCGUGCCAGCAGCCGCGGUAAUACGGAGGGUGCAAGCGUUAAUCGGAAUUACUGGGCGUAAAGCGCACGCAGGCGGUCUGUCAAGUCGGAUGUGAAAUCCCCGGGCUCAACCUGGGAACUGCAUUCGAAACUGGCAGGCUAGAGUCUUGUAGAGGGGGGUAGAAUUCCAGGUGUAGCGGUGAAAUGCGUAGAGAUCUGGAGGAAUACCGGUGGCGAAGGCGGCCCCCUGGACNAAGACUGACGCUCAGGUGCGAAAGCGUGGGGAGCNAACAGGAUUAGAUACCCUGGUAGUCCACGCCGUAAACGNNNNNNACUUGGAGGUUGUGCCCUUGAGGCGUGNC